UCUCCGUUGGUGAACCAGCGGAGGGAUCAUUACUGAGUGUAAAAACUCCCAAACCAAUGUGAACAUACCACUGUUGCUUCGGCGGCCUCGUCCCGCGGAGCGUCUUCCCCCCAGGGGGCUGGCGCGGCCCGGACCCAGGCGACCGCCGGAGGACCCAAACUCUUGCCUUUAUAGUGCAUAUCUGAGUGGCAUAAGCAAAAUAAAUCAAAACUUUCAGCAACGGAUCUCUUGGUUCUG
rnacentral:misc_RNA from 1 species